AUGCAAGGCCCGGGCGGGCUGAGCCCACGGCGCCUGCGCCUCAGGCAGCGACCACAGUACCGGGCGCAGCAACCGCCUCCGCCGCGGCCGCUGCGGUCUCAGCCGCCGGCGCGCCGCGCUCCCGAAGUCCAGCGCGCGCCGCCUCGCCACAGCCAGGCCCGAGGCCCCGCCCACGCCGUCGGGUGCCCGGGGGGCUGCCACGCCCACUCCUCACGGGUGUUCGCCCAAGGGGCUGCUGGGGGCCCUGGCCCGCUUCCCAGGUUGGCGGGAGCAGACGGUGGCCAUCCUCCGACCCGUCGAUGGUCUGGCACAGCUCUGAUCAUCUUUUCGCUCUUCCGUAGGCUGGAGGGAGUGGCGGCUGCAGCCAGUUACUCCUGGGUUUUUUUGUUUUUGUUUUUUGUUUUUGGCAAGAGGAGGCUGCUUAAAGCGAGAGUUGGCGGAAACCUGAUGGAUGGGAACUCUGCCCACGCCGAAAACCCUUAUCUUUUGUUUGUUUGCUUACGAAGCACGUUACCCAGAGUGUCUGCCAAGCCAGGUGGAAGUGGAGGGUGGACACGGUAUCUGGGUCCCCCUCCCAGGGCCCAGGGCCGACUCUGCAGCGCCCUCUGCCGCAGGCUCCGCCUCCACCGUCUGAGUGCCCUCCGGUCACCUCAGGGACCCUCCUUGGUGAUGCACAACACAGUUAACGGUGAAGCUCCGCUUAAUAAGGAUUAUAGUCCAGGACACAGCCUCUCAGAUGCCUCUGAGGAGCUAUUCUGAAGAGAUGGGGAGAGUGUUUAUAAGGAGUCAAGAGACAGCAAGAGGAAACUCUGGGGGCUAAGUGCUCCCCUGCCUCCCCAACAUAUUCCUUCAGGAAAGAAGGUUGUAUUCCUUGAGUCCAAGCAGCAUAGUAAUCUGGCAAGAAUGUACUCCCAGAGUAAGAGCUUUCCAUGGCUUGAAGGAAAAAGGAGACAGCUACAACCCAUGUAAGAUGAGAACAGGGGCCUGAGAAG